UACGGAAUGUGCAAACGUUAUUCGGAAUCACUGGGCUUAAAGAGUCCGUAGGCGGCAUGUUAGGUGAGGUGUGAAAUCCCCCCGGCUCAACCGAGGAAUUGCGCUUCAAACCGGCGUGCUUGAGGAAGAUAGAGGUGGGCGGAACUGAUGGUGGAGCGGUGAAAUGCGUUGAUAUCAUCAGGAACACCGGAGGCGAAAGCGGCCCACUGGGUCUUUUCUGACGCUGAGGGACGAAAGCUAGGGGAGCGAACGGGG
rnacentral:rRNA from 1 species